rnacentral:rRNA from 1 species
GACGAACGCUGGCGGCGUGCCUAACACAUGCAAGUCGAACGGAGUUGACCUUCGGGUUAACUUAGUGGCGAACGGGUGAGUAACGCGUGAGAAACCUGCCUUUCAGUGGGGGACAACAGUUGGAGACGACUGCUAAUACCGCAUAAUGUCAUUUGGGGGCAUCCCCGAAUGACCAAAGAUUUAUUGCUGAAAGAUGGUCUCGCGUCUGAUUAGCUAGAUGGCGGGGUAACGGCCCACCAUGGCGACGAUCAGGAGCCGGUCUGAGAGGAUGAACGGCCACAUUGGGACUGAGAUACGGCCCAGACUCCUACGGGAGGCAGCAGUGGGGAAUAUUGGGCAAUGGGCGAAAGCCUGACCCAGCAACGCCGCGUGAAGGAAGAAGGCCUUCGGGUUGUAAACUUCUUUUACCAGGGACGAAAAUUUGACGGUACCUGGAGAAAAAGCAACGGCUAACUACGUGCCAGCAGCCGCCGUAAUAC